GGCCGCGUGGGAGAUGGCAUGCCUCCCGUUCCGGCGCGACUGUCGCGGGACAAACCACCUCCCGUGCGACCCACGUCGAGGUUGAUGAUGCCUGCAUCGCC
rnacentral:ncRNA from 2 species